rnacentral:rRNA from 1 species
CUACGGGGCGCUGCAGUGGGGAAUAUUGCGCAAUGGGGGAAACCCUGACGCAGCGACGCCGUGUGAGUGAUGAAGGUUUUCGGAUCGUAAAGCUCUGUCGGAUGGGACGAAUAAGGACUGUGUGAAUAAUGCAGUCCGAUGACGGUACCGUCGAAGGAAGCACCGGCUAACUCCGUGCCAGCAGCCGCGGUAAUACGGAGGGUGCAAGCGUUGUUCGGAAUUAUUGGGCGUAAAGGACGCGUAGGCGGGCUUGUAUGUCAGAUGUGAAAGCCCCAGGCUCAACCUGGGAAGUGCAUCUGAAACUGCAGGUCUUGAGUACGAGAGAGGAGAGUGGAAUUCCCAGUGUAGAGGUGAAAUUCAUAGAUAUUGGGAAGAACACCGGCGGCGAAAGCGGCUCUCUGGCUCGAUACUGACGCUGAGGCGUGAAAGCGUGGGGAGCAAACAGGAUUAGAUACCCCAGUAGUC